AACGCACAUUGCGCCCGCUGGUAUUCCGGCGGGCAUGCCCGUUCGAGCGUCAUUUUAACCCCCUCCCGAAAGACUCUAUUUUACUGGGUCUACGGGGCGUUGGCGCCAGCCACCUGAAAUUUUAUUUUUAGGCGGCCGGCGCCCAAAUGUAGUGGCGGACGCGUGGCGGCCCCUAGCGCAGUAGAACAACCUUCUCGCUCAGGAGGCUCGCGGCGGCGGACCACAGCCCAACAACAAGCUUCAAAAACUUGUACCAAAAUACAUAAAACUUGACCUCGGAUCGGGUAGGACUACCCGCUGAACUUAA
rnacentral:misc_RNA from 1 species